rnacentral:misc_RNA from 1 species
AAAAAAAAGAAAAAAAAAAAGUUCUCUUACUGUUUGGAGAUAGAGAGUGAUAGUUUAGAAUGCGUAAAUUGAUGAAGAUUGUUGCUUCAUGCUAUUUGUUGCGUUUGGAAGUGAGAUUUAAAGCAUCUACUAACACCUGCUUUGCAACUGGCCAUGAAAAGAAACAAAAUUAAAGAAAUCUAAAAGGUUGGAUGAAACUGGCUAAAACACUUAAAAAUAGUGUGAAACUGUAGCUUUAAAACUUUAAAAGUGGAAAUAUGUUAUCAGUUUUCAAGAUUUUACUAGAAGCUACCUUUUUUGAAAUAUAUUGCAUUCCAUGAGCUUAAAUGUGUAAUUAAUUCUCUCUCUCUCUUGGCUUCAUGUUUACUUGCUCUGAUAUAUGGACGAGUUUGACCACACAUUUGGUACUAAAAUAUUAGGAAUUGAAAG